GCGGGGCGUGGGAGGGCGGGGCCACUGCGCAGCUGCGGCGCCCGCGACCCGGACGGUCCUCCUGCUGGGCCAGCGCUGGCCGGGAGGGCCGGUAUGGCUGCUGUUUGUUUAACCCUCCGGUGUGUUGUCGGCGCUCUCCGGACACGGUUGCACCGUGUCUGCCGCAGCCCUCGUUGUGCAUCGGAGGAAACGGAAAUCCAGAAAAGUCAAGUACCUCACUCGGCCGCUGUCGCGCUGGACUGGGACCGGCUCCAGGCAAUCGACUGUCAGAUUCCAAAGCUGUUUUUUUCCAUGACACCAGCGCAGCCCCUGUCUCAACAAGGUCUGAAAUGACAGCAGACAAAAAUGAGUAUUGCUGCGGUGUUCAUCCAAGCCCUCGUGCCGGGUUUGGCCAUUUGAAGAUUCACAUAUAUGUGAGAUCGUAUGGUAUUUGUCUUCUGCUGUCUGACUUGUUUCACUUGGCAUAAUAAUGCCCUUGAGGUUGACUUCCACUGGCACCAACUCGUGAGGCAGUUGCUGGUGGUCUGGGCCAUUUCUUUGAUAUUUUUACAACGGUACCGAGUCUGAAAGAGCCUUCAUAAAAAUGAAAUUGGCUUCUGUGCUGAAUGAAUUUCAAUCAGAUUUCAAAAUGAACAUGCAAAACAGUAAAGGAAGAGGCAAAUGAACAUUUCUCACUUGAAUGUGGUGCAGUGUGAAGAUGAUGAGGAAUUCACUGCUGUUAGAGAAGACCUACUUCUGGAACAAGUUUUGAAUGAAAUGUCUAAAGCGCUUUCCUUGCAUUUACAUUGCAUACAUUUUAGAAAAUCGGUUUUAUAUUAAAUUCGGUUUCAAAAACUAUUUUCGAAAGAAUCAAAAUCUUUCGAAACUCUUUAGGAAUGUGUAUGUCAUUGAGAUCUGUGACCGGGCUCUCUUUGAUAAGGUUCACGAACACUUUAAUGAAAUGUGAAUAUAUAGCUUCCUUAAGGAGAUCAUGAUGAACCCAUGAGUGGGCUGGAGACAAGUAUAGGAUUUUUCUCCAAAGAGGACAAAAAUGGAGCAGUGAUUAAAGGGAGUAGUGGAGUCAAGCAAGACAGUUUUUGAAAGAUGGGAGAAAAAAGCAUUUUCCCUGAUAGGAAUUUUCUAGGGAACCCUUACAGAAAGGAUGUGUAAUAGUGACCCGUGAGUUCCCUUGAAAUGUUGGAUGACAGUAGAGGCAGGGGGUGGGGAGUUAAAAUGCAAGUCACCUCCUGAGAGCAGCCGCAAUCUGCACCCCAAAACACUGUGGUUGUGGUUGUGGUUGUGGUUGUGGUUGUGGUUGCCGUGGGCGAUUAAGAUUCCCCUCACAAUUAAUCAUACCCAUUUGCUCAGGAGCCGCAGCGCACUACGCACUGCUUCCUCGUUAGUUACGACUUCUAUAGCGGGAUGGAUGGAUGUAAGACCAAGCAGACAUGCUUGCGUUUUAUCUACAUUGGAGGUCAGUAUACAUUACCAUAGUGGGUGCUGUGUAUGUAUACACAUGAUAGUAGUACGUGUGACUAUAUGAUAUAUAUAUUAUAUAUACACCAGAGGCCCAGUGUGCACGAAAUUGUGUGCAAGUAGCUUGCCUCAGCUGGCCGCCCUGCCCAUUGCCACUCAUAGCUCUCCACCGCUCGUAGCUCGCACUGCACCCUGCCAGGCCCCACCUGCUGCGAGAGCUGCUGCUGGUUUGGUCGUUACAGCCACAGGCCUUUUAUAAUAUAGAUAAUGCAUAUGUAUGAAGUAUAGAUACAUAAUGUGCAUAUGCAUUGUAUAGUGAUGUUUGUUUGUUUGUUUGUUUUUUGGUUAAUCCUCGCCUGAGGGUAUUUUCCCAUUGACUUUUAGAGAGAGAGUGGAAGGGAAUGGGAGAAAUAGAGAGAGAGACAUCAAUGUGAGAGAGACACAUUGAUUGGUUGCCUCCCACAUGGACCCAGACUGGGCCGGGAACCUGGGGACUGAGUCUGCAACUGAGGUACAUGCCCUUGACCAGAAUCAAACCCGGGACUUUUCAGUCCUCGGGCCGACACUCUGUCCACUGAGCCAAACCAGCCAGGGCUGGUCUGUAUCAAUCCAGUUCUGGUCAACCCCAGAAAGUUCUUUCCAAUCAGUUCUCCCCUGUUAUUCGUCCUAGGGCUCUGGUUUAAGGUCUGUCUCAUUGCUUCUGACUUGGAUUAUUACAAUACCCCUCUUGAGCCCAUGUGUCUUCCCAUCUGUCAUGCAUUCUACCAGAAUAAUCUUUCUAAAAGUAUUAGUUUAUAAUUCAUCUUUUCCACCAGACUGUGUGUUCUUGCUUACUUAGGACAUGACAGAUGUUUAAAAAUAUUUGUUCAAAUGGGGAACAUCUGUCAUAGUGUCAACAAUUUAAAAAAAAACGUUUGGCGCCCUGACUGGUUUGGCUCAGUGGAUAGAGUGUCGGCCUGUGGACUGAGGGGUUCCAGGUUCGAUUCCGGCCAGGGGCAUGUGCCUUGGUUGUGGGCACAUCCCCAGUGGGGGACGUGCAGGAGGUGGCUGAUUGAUGUUUCUCUCUCAUCAAUGUUUCUGACUCUCUAUCCCUUUC